GACGAACGCUGGCGGCGUGCCUAAUACAUGCAAGUCGAACGCAGUGGGGACGGGUGAGUAACACGUGGGUAACCUCCCAUCAGAGGGGAUAACACUUGGAAACUGGUGCUAAACCGAUACUGAUGGAUGGACCCGCGGUGCAUUAGCCAGUUGGUGGGGGAACGGCUCACCAAGGCCACGAUGCAUAGCUGGCCUGAGAGGGUGAUCAGCCACACUGGGACUGAGACACGGCCCAGACUCCUACGGGAGGCAGCAGUAGGGAAUAUUCGGCAAUGGGCGAAAGCCUGACCGAGCAACGCCGCGUGUGUGAAGAAGGUUUUCGGAUCGUAAAACUCUGUCGUUAGAGAAGCGGUAUCUAACCAGAAAGCAACGGCUAACUACGUGCCAGCAGCCGCGGUAAUAC
rnacentral:rRNA from 1 species